CCUACGGGGGGCAGCAGUGAGGAAUAUUGGUCAAUGGCCGUAAGGCUGAACCAGCCAAGUCGCGUGAAGGAAGAAGGAUCUAUGGUUUGUAAACUUCUUUUAUAGGGGAAUAAAGGUAUCCACGUGUGGAUAUUUGCAUGUACCCUAUGAAUAAGCAUCGGCUAACUCCGUGCCAGCAGCCGCGGUAAUACGGAGGAUGCGAGCGUUAUCCGGAUUUAUUGGGUUUAAAGGGUGCGUAGGUUGUUUUUUAAGUCAGCGGUGAAAGUUUGUGGCUCAACCAUAAAAUUGCCGUUGAAACUGGAAGACUUGAGUGUGUUUGAGGUAGGCGGAAUGCGUGGUGUAGCGGUGAAAUGCAUAGAUAUCACGAAGAACCCCGAUUGCGAAGGCAGCUUACUAAACUGUGACUGACAUUGAUGCUCGAAAGUGUGGGUAUCAAACAGGAUUAGAUACCCGGGUAGUC
rnacentral:rRNA from 1 species